CCUACGAGAGGCUGCAGUGGGGACUAUUGGACAAUGGGGGAAACCCUGAUCCAGCGACGCCGCGUGAGUGAAGAAGUAUUUCGGUACGUAAAGCUCUAUCAGCAGGAAAGAAAAUGACGGUACCUGACUAAGAAGCCCCGGCUAACUACGUGCCAGCGGCCGCGGUAAUACGAAGGGGGCAAGCGUUAUCCGUAUUUACUGGGUGAAAAGGGAGCGUAGACGGCGGAGCAAGUAUGAAGUGAACGGCGGGGGCCCAACCCCCGGACUGCUUUGGAAACUGUAUAGCUAGAGUGCAGGAGAGGUAAGUGGAAUUCCUAGUGUAGCGGUGAACUGCGUAGAUAUUAGGAGGAACACCAGUGGCGAAGGCGGCUUACUGGACUGUAACUGACGUUGAGGCUCGAAAGCGUGGGGAGCAAACAGGAUUAGAUACCCGAGUAGUC
rnacentral:rRNA from 1 species